UACGUAGGGUGCGAGCGUUGUCCGGAAUUACUGGGCGUAAAGAGCUCGUAGGUGGUUUGUCGCGUUGUUCGUGAAAACUCACAGCUCAACUGUGGGCGUGCGGGCGAUACGGGCAGACUGGAGUACUGCAGGGGAGACUGGAAUUCCUGGUGUAGCGGUGGAAUGCGCAGAUAUCAGGAGGAACACCGGUGGCGAAGGCGGGGUCUCUGGGGCAGUAAACUGACACUGAGGAGCGAAAAGCGUGGGGGAGCGAAACAGG
rnacentral:rRNA from 1 species